AGGUAAGCUACUAAGAGCGAAUGGUGGAUGCCUUGACUGGUAAAGGCGAUGAAGGACGUACUAGACUGCGAUAAGCUACGGGGAGCUGUCAAGAAGCUUUGAUCCGUAGAUUUCCGAAUGGGGCAACCCAAUGUAUAGAGAUAUACAUUACCUAUAUAGGAGCGAACGAGGGGAAUUGAAACAUCUUAGUACCCUCAGGAAAAGAAAUCAAUAGAGAUUGCGUCAGUAGCGGCGAGCGAAAGCGCAAGAGGGCAAACCCAGUGCUUGCACUGGGGGUUGUAGGACUGCAAUGUGCAAGAGGUAAGUUUAGCAGAACAUUCUGGAAAGUAUAACCAUAGAGGGUGAUAGUCCCGUAUGCGAAAAACAAACCUUAGCUAGCAGUAUCCUGAGUAGGGCGGGACACGAGGAAUCCUGUCUGAAUCCGGGUCGACCACGAUCCAACCCUAAAUACUAAUACCAGAUCGAUAGUGCACAAGUACCGUGAGGGAAAGGUGAAAAGAACUGAGGUGAUCAGAGUGAAAUAGAACCUGAAACCAUUUGCUUACAAUCAUUCAGAGCCCUAUGUAGCAAUACAGGGUGAUGGACUGCCUUUUGCAUAAUGAGCCUGCGAGUUGUGGUGUCUGGCAAGGUUAAGCAAACGCGAAGCCGUAGCGAAAGCGAGUCUGAAUAGGGCGCUUAGUCAGAUGCUGCAGACCCGAAACGAAGUGAUCUAUCCAUGAGCAAGUUGAAGCUAGUGUAAGAACUAGUGGAGGACUGAACCCAUAGGCGUUGAAAAGCCCCGGGAUGACUUGUGGAUAGGGGUGAAAGGCCAAUCAAACUUCGUGAUAGCUGGUUCUCUCCGAAAUAUAUUUAGGUAUAGCGUUGUGUCGUAAUAUAAGGGGGUAGAGCACUGAAUGGGCUAGGGCAUACACCAAUGUACCAAACCCUAUCAAACUCCGAAUACCUUAUAUGUAAUCACAGCAGUCAGGCGGCGAGUGAUAAAAUCCGUCGUCAAGAGGGAAACAACCCAGACUACCAGCUAAGGUCCCUAAAUCUUACUUAAGUGGAAAACGAUGUGAAGUUACUUAAACAACCAGGAGGUUGGCUUAGAAGCAGCCAUCCUUUAAAGAAAGCGUAAUAGCUCACUGGUCUAGUGAUUUUGCGCGGAAAAUAUAACGGGGCUAAAGUAAGUACCGAAGCUGUAGACUUGCACACAACUUAGAUUAUUUAAGUUUAGAAUAUGAGAAACUAAGUUAUAUGUUUAGUUAUAUUUUUACUGAUUUUUAUAGAGUAAAGAUAGAAAUAAAACUUAGUAAAAUCAGUAAAAAUAUUCUUAGACUAAAGUUAAGUAGUUUAAGUUGUGUGCAAGUGGUAGGAGAGCGUUCUAUUUGCGUCGAAGGUAUACCGGUAAGGAGUGCUGGAGCGAAUAGAAGUGAGCAUGCAGGCAUGAGUAGCGAUAAUUAAUGUGAGAAUCAUUAACGCCGUAAACCCAAGGUUUCCUACGCGAUGCUCGUCAUCGUAGGGUUAGUCGGGUCCUAAGUCGAGUCCGAAAGGGGUAGACGAUGGCAAAUUGGUUAAUAUUCCAAUACCAACAUUAGUGUGCGAUGGAAGGACGCUUAGGGCUAAGGGGGCUAGCGGAUGGAAGUGCUAGUCUAAGGUCGUAGGAGGUUGUACAGGCAAAUCCGUAUAACAAUACUCCGAGAACUGAAAGGCUUUUUGAAGUCUUCGGAUGGAUAGAAGAACCCCUGAUGCCGUCGAGCCAAGAAAAGUUUCUAAGUUUAGCUAAUGUUGCCCGUACCGUAAACCGACACAGGUGGGUGGGAUGAGUAUUCUAAGGCGCGUGGAAGAACUCUCUUUAAGGAACUCUGCAAAAUAGCACCGUAUCUUCGGUAUAAGGUGUGGUUAGCUUUGUAUUAGGAUUUACUCCGAAAGCAAGGAAACUUACAACAAAGAGUCCCUCCCGACUGUUUACCAAAAACACAGCACUCUGCUAACUCGUAAGAGGAUGUAUAGGGUGUGACGCCUGCCCGGUGCUCGAAGGUUAAUUGAUGGGGUUAGCAUUAGCGAAGCUCUUGAUCGAAGCCCGAGUAAACGGCGGCCGUAACUAUAACGGUCCUAAGGUAGCGAAAUUCCUUGUCGGUUAAAUACCGACCUGCAUGAAUGGCGUAACGAGAUGGGAGCUGUCUCAAAGAGGGAUCCAGUGAAAUUGUAGUGGAGGUGAAAAUUCCUCCUACCCGCGGCAAGACGGAAAGACCCCGUGGACCUUUACUACAGCUUGACACUGCUACUUGGAUAAGAAUGUGCAGGAUAGGUGGGAGGCUUUGAGUAUAUGACGCCAGUUGUAUAUGAGCCAUUGUUGAGAUACCACUCUUUCUUAUUUGGGUAGCUAACCAGCUUGAGUUAUCCUCAAGUGGGACAAUGUCUGGUGGGUAGUUUGACUGGGGCGGUCGCCUCCCAAAUAAUAACGGAGGCUUACAAAGGUUGGCUCAGAACGGUUGGAAAUCGUUCGUAGAGUAUAAAGGUAUAAGCCAGCUUAACUGCAAGACAUACAAGUCAAGCAGAGACGAAAGUCGGUCUUAGUGAUCCGGUGGUUCUGUGUGGAAGGGCCAUCGCUCAAAGGAUAAAAGGUACCCCGGGGAUAACAGGCUGAUCUCCCCCAAGAGCUCACAUCGACGGGGAGGUUUGGCACCUCGAUGUCGGCUCAUCGCAUCCUGGGGCUGGAGCAGGUCCCAAGGGUAUGGCUGUUCGCCAUUUAAAGCGGUACGCGAGCUGGGUUCAGAACGUCGUGAGACAGUUCGGUCCCUAUCUGCCGUGGGCGUAAGAAGAUUGAAGAGAUUUGACCCUAGUACGAGAGGACCGGGUUGAACAAACCACUGGUGUAGCUGUUGUUCUGCCAAGAGCAUCGCAGCGUAGCUAAGUUUGGAAAGGAUAAACGCUGAAAGCAUCUAAGCGUGAAGCCAACUCUAAGAUGAAUCUUCUCUAAGCUCUCUAGAAGACUACUAGUUUGAUAGGCUGGGUGUGUAAUGGAUGAAAGUCCUUUAGCUGACCAGUACUAAUAGAGCGUUUGGCUUAUCUUU
rnacentral:rRNA from 1 species